UUGCACGCUGGCGGAAUGCUUUACACAUGCCAGUCGAGCGGCAGCGCGGCCUUCGGGCUGGCGGCGAGCGGCGAACGGGUGAGUAAUGCAUCGGAACAUGCCCAGUCGUGGGGGAUAACACUUCGAAAGAAGUGCUAAUACCGCAUACGUCCUGAGGGGGAAAGCGGGGGAUCGCAAGACCUCGCGCGAUUGGAGUGGCCGAUGUCAGAUUAGCUAGUUGGUGGGGUAAAGGCCUACCAAGGCGACGAUCUGUAGCUGGUCUGAGAGGAUGAUCAGCCACACUGGGACUGAGACACGGCCCAGACUCCUACGGGAGGCAGCAGUGGGGAAUUUUGGACAAUGGGGGCAACCCUGAUCCAGCCAUUCCGCGUGAGUGAAGAAGGCCUUCGGGUUGUAAAGCUCUUUCGGCAGGAACGAAACGGUGGGCUCUAACAUAGUCCGCUAAUGACGGUACCUGAAGAAGAAGCACCGGCUAACUACGUG
rnacentral:rRNA from 1 species